rnacentral:rRNA from 1 species
GAUGAACGCUGGCGGCGUGUCUAAUACAUGCAAGUCGAGCGAACAGACGAGGAGCUUGCUCCUCUGACGUUAGCGGCGGUCGUGUGAGUAACAUGUGGAUAACCUACCUAUAAGACUUGGAUAACUUCGGGAAACCGGAGCUAAUACCGUUUAAUAUAUUAUACCGCAUGGUUCAAUAGUCAAAUAGUGUUUUGCUGUCACUUAUAGAUGGUUCCGCGCCGUAUUAGCUAGUUGUUAAGCUAACGGCUUACCAAGGCAACGAUGCGUAGCCGACCUCAUAGGGAGAACCACCACCCUGGAACUGAGACACGGUCCAGACUACUACGGGAGGCAGCAGUAGGGAAUCUUCCGCAAUGGGCGAAAGCCUGAAGGAGCAACGCCGCGUGAGUGAUGAAGGUCUUCGGAUCGUAAAACUCUGUUAUUAGGGAAGAACAAAUGUGAAAGUAACUAUGCACGUCUUGACGGUACCUAAUCAGACAGCCACGGCUAACUACGUA